CUUAACCGACUGAGCCACCCAGGCACCCCAGUCUUGUAUUCUUAAAGCCUACUUCUUUCAUGAGUAUUGGUCUUAUUUCUCCAACUAGAUGCUCUACUCCAUAAGAAGAUGGUUCCUCCGUGCCCAGUUUAGUGUUCUGUAUACAGUUGGUGCUUAGAUAACAGUGCUUGGUCAAUCAUGCCUCUUCUCAAAGCCAUGGGACUUGUUUCACCAAACAUGAGGCUGGAACUCGAGAUCCUGAGAUCAACAGUCACACGCUUCACCAACUGAGCCAGCCAGGUGCCUCACUGGACCUGUUUCUGUUCACAAACUGGGAAGGGGAACAGCAUCAGAAGGGAGUUUCAGAGGCAGGCAAGCCUUUGAACCUCCCAGGAAGGACGUGAGCCGCUUGGCACUGCACGGCAUAUGCGCGAAGGAGCUGAGCUGGCAGCCAAUGAGAGCUUACCACCCAUAGCAACUACCAGUCUGGAGCAUUUACCACGUGACCGACAGGUGCUGUGCUGAAAACUGCAGAGGCAUGACCUCCAGGAGUGGAAAAAACAACCUCUCAUGGACUUCUUCCUACUUCAUUAGAGAGCUGAGGCUCGGAGAGAGGAGAUCACAACCCUGAGCCUUAGAAGGUGACACUUGGGCUGGAAGCGCAGAUGAUUAGAAUUGCAAGGCAAUACGCAGAACAUGAAAGGCUGAGAAUGAGACCACGUCCAGAGUUUCUCUGGACGUGGUCCUCUCUGGACACCCUCCUGCCUCCAAGCCUGUGGCAAUCUGACGACAGACGGUUCAGAAAGCCUCUGGACCCUCUCCGUGUCUUUCCACCUCUGACUCUCUUGGUGGACCCUUUUCUCUUGCAUGCGUGGUUGUAUAACUGAUUCUGGCAGGGACUCAUGUUCAAAAUAAAGCCAACCACUUUUCUGCC